AUUGAACGCUGGCGGCAGGCUUAACACAUGCAAGUCGAACGAGUGGCGGACGGGUGAGUAAUGUCUGGGAAACUGCCUGAUGGAGGGGGAUAACUACUGGAAACGGUAGCUAAUACCGCAUACCAUCAGAUGUGCCCAGAUGGGAUUAGCUUGUUGGUGGGGUAACGGCUCACCAAGGCGACGAUCCUUAGCUGGUAUGAGAGGAUGACGAGCCACACUGGAACUGAUGAACGGCCCAGACGCCUACGGGAGGCAGCAGUGGGGAAUAUUGGACAAUGGGGGAAAGCCUGAUGCAGCAAUGCCGAGUGUAUGAAGAAGGCCUUCGGGUUGGAAAGUACUUUCAGCGGGGAGGCGGUACCCGCAGAAGAAGCACCGGCUAACUACGUGCCAGCAGCCGCGGUAAUAC
rnacentral:rRNA from 1 species